rnacentral:lncRNA from 1 species
UUUUGGGUUUCCUUCCUUUUUUGUUUUUCAUUUCUUAUUCUAUUGAAUACUGUUGGCAUUCUAUAGACCGCCAGCCUUUUAUUUACUCUUUUUAGGAGGCUUUUUGCUAUGGUAUGUUUUGCCAGUUGGUAUAGCAGUGGUAUGUAUUCUGAGUUUUGCAUUACUUCUCCAUUCAGGCUAUGCUUAUUGGGCACUCCUCGUUGUAAGGCCUGUUUAACUUUCAUCUGUAUGUGCUUCAAGAUGCUGCUCUUGUACCCAUGUUGCUUCCCAACUUCAUAUAUUUAUCUUAACUCUGUAUCUAAGUCCUGCUAUUUAGUAGAGUAUAAGUAUGCCCUUUUAAAAUAACCUCUAAAGGUUGUCUUUUUGUAUGUUAUUGGAUCCGGAGACCAGAAUCAGUAUUAUAUUUGGUUGAUACUAGGGUUUCUUGUAUAAUGCAGUUCUUAACUCACCUUUGCUUAUGUCAAUACUGAUGUCUAGAAAAUGGGCUUCUGAUUGACUCUGUUGUGUUAUAUUAAGCUUCAGCCCAUAUGCUGGCAAGGGCUUUUUGCAGUUCUACGGCUUUUUCUUCAUUUUUCCAUAUUGCUAAUAUAUCAUCUAUGUAUUGAUCAUACAUCCUUAAUAACGACUGAAAUUUCUCAAGGACUAACUGCUCUACUUACCUAAAAAAGAUCUCAGCCAGUGGGCUGACCAUGGGACUUCCAAUUGGGAUUCCUAGUGUCUGUUUAUAAAAGAUUCCUUUGAAGCAGAAGUACAAAUCAUAUGCUGAAAACAUAAGGAUGGGUUGGGAAGGGGCGAGGGUCGUGGAGCCGUUGGUCAGGAAAUUGCAG